GUACGUUCUAUUACUUAUCAUAUGAAGGUUGAAAUAAUGCUAUUUUAUUUUCUAGUAAUACAUAAAGGGAAGCAACUCAUAAUGAAAAUAAACCUUUAAUUGAAUAAUAACUGAAUUCGAAAAUGAAAUUUUCACGAUCUAUCUUUACUUUGCUCGUCAAACUCUUCGGAGAAAUGACAGGCGUAGGUCUAGUUUGUAGAAGUAAUCAAGAACACAAAACAAAAGAAUAACUCUCUUUUAUUACUUAGGAAACUCUCUCAAAACCUAAGCCUCUCUCAAUCACUUCUCAAACUCUCUAAAACCGCACAAGUCAUAUCACAACUCGAUAUGUCCUUAUAUGACAAACCCUAUGACCUAAUCAUAUCUCAAUUAGGAAAAUACAAAGAUCCUUCUAGAUAACUCCUAGAGGAUUUACAUUUAUCUUCUCAUAAAACCAAAGACUUGCGGUUUAAGUAAUCCUCCGGUUAAGCUUCUCUCAAGCUUAAACCAACAAUCCCCCUUAAGCUUGAGAUCCUUAUUCACCACAUCUUGCACACCUAUAAGCUCCCUCAUUUCCUUGAACUUAAUCUUCCCAAGGGCCUUUGUUAAGAUGUCUGCUCUCUGUUCAUUCCCCGGCACAUGCUCUACCUCUAUCAAGCCGUUUUCGACACAUUCUCGUAUGAAGUGAUAUCGUCGAUGGAUGUGCUUGCUGCGACCAUGAAACACAGGGUUCUUAGUGAGUGCAAUAGCUGAUUUAUUGUCGAUCCUUAUAACAACCUUCUCACUCAAAGUUCCCGUGAUCUCGCUUAGUAUAUCCUGCAACCAAAUAGCUUGUUUCGCAGCUUCGGUUCCUCCCAUGAACUCUGCUUCACAAGACGACAUUGCCAUAGUUUCUUGCUUCUGUGAACACCAAGAUAUAGGACUUUCUCCUAAAUAAAACACAUGACCAGCUGUACUCCUCCCAUCAUCUUGAUCUACAUCAUGACUACUAUCACUGUACCCUAUUAACUUUGGUAUACUAGUACACCGGUUGUAAGUUAGGCCAAGAUUGGUAGUUCCUUUUAGGUAUCUAAGGCACUGUUUCAUUGCAGUCUCAUGUGACUCCUAGGACUCUGCAUAUAUAGGCUCAAAACUCCCACACAGUAUGACAAGUCUGGUCUAGUGUGUAACAAGUAUCUGAAGCAACCCACAUUGCGUCUAAAAACCGUAGCAUCAACUUCUUUCUCCUUUUCAGCUUUUGACAAUUUCAAUCCUGCUUCCAUGGGAAUAUGAACUGAAUUACAAUCUCUCAUUCCGGCUUCCUCCAAGAUCUUAAGAGCAUAACGACUCUGAUUCAAUACUAUCCCCUCCUGAUGCUGCAUUAGCUCAAUUCCAAGAUAAUAAGUCAACUUCCCGAGGUCACUCAUUUCAAAAUUUGAAGACAUUUCUCCUUUAAAUUUGUUGAUGACUUCAAGACUUGUCCCUGUAACAAAUAGGUCAUCCACAUACACUGCUAUAAUAAGGAGAUGUCCCUUAACUUCUUUGCGAUAGACUGAUGGUUCCUUUGAACAUUUUGUAAAAUGUAGAUCAACAAGGAUGUGAUUUAGCUUGUUGUUCCAAGCUCUUGGCGCUUGCCUUAGACCGUACAAUGCUUUGUUUAGUCUAUAAACCUUAUCUUCACUUCCUUUAACUUCAAAUCCUUCUGGUUGAUAAACAUAAACAGUUUCCUUGAGUUCUCCGUGUAGAAAAGCCGUUUUAACAUCAAGAUGGUGGAUCUCCCACCCAUGUGCUGCUGCGAGAUCAAUAAGGAGUCUGAUUGUUUCAAUUCGUGCCACUGGAGCGAAUACCUCUUCAAAGUCUACUCCAUAUUUUUGUACAUACCCUUUUGCAACAAGACGGGCCUUGUACUUAUUAAUACUCCCAUCAGAAUUUCUCUUGAGUUUGAAUACCCAUUUUAAGCCAAUUGGCUUUGUUCCUACUGGCAAGUCAACAAGGUCCCAAGUUUUGAACCUUUCAAUAGAACUUAGCUCAUCUUCACAAGCGCUUGUCCACUCUUUAAACUGUUUUGCUUCAUGAAAGUUUCUUGGUUCAUUAUUCAGACACAUAAGCAAUGUUUCUCCUUCUCCUUCUGCAAGUAGGACGUAGUCUUGAAGAUAUUUAGGUUUAUUAAUCUGUCUCUGAGUUCUUCUUAAAACGGGUGAAUGAGGAUCACUUGUUCCUGCAGCCUCAUGUUCUGUUUCCUGACCAUGCCCUGUUUCGGUACUCUGCUCUUCUUCAGACUCAUCAUGUUCAAUCUCUUCCAGAUUUUGUCCUCUUUCUCCAAUGUGUUCAGUCUCUCCAUGUGUUUCAACAGUCUGUUCUGUUUCUCGAAGUCCAUGAUUUCCGAAAGCUUCAAACGUAAUCUUAAAGCUUCCAUCACUGUUUUGCUCUGUAUCAUUAUGUUUCCAGCUCCAUCCCUUUGUUUCAUCAAACACGACAUCACGACUAACUACUAUUUUUCUUGCUUGAGGAUCGAGUAAUCGAUAAGCUUUGGAUCCAGGUUCUAUUCCUAGGUGAAUAAGAACACGUGACCUGUCAUCUAAUUUCUUCAAGUGAUGUUUAUCCACCUUUGCAUACGCAGCACAUCCAAAGACUCGAAUAUGACUGAUUGCUGGCUUCUUGUCUCGAAAACAUUCAUAAGGAGUUUUAUCCUUUAAAGCUCGUGUUGUAACUAUGUUUAAGAGAUAGGUAGAAUGCCUAAUAGCUUCUCCCCAUAGGUAAUUUGGCAUGUGCAUAUGUUUUAAAAUACUUCUCGUCAUCUCCAUCAAAGUUCUAUUCCGUCUUUCAACAACUCCAUUUUGCUGUGGAGUAUACGGAGCAGUGAGAUGCCUUUUGAUGCCAGAUUCUUCACAAAAAAUGUUGAACUCAUGAGAAACAAACUCUCCUCCUCUGUCUGUUCUUAGAGUUUGAAUUCUUGCUUCAGAUUCUUUCUCAACAAGGUUCUUGAAGUUUUUAAACUUUUGGAAAGCAUCUCCCUUUUCUUUUAACAAAACUGUCCACACGUAUCGAGAAUAAUCAUCUAUUAGCACGAAGAUGUACCUAUUUCCAGCACUGGUACUUGGCGUUAUUGGUCCACAGAGAUCACCAUGUAUGAGUUCCAGCUUUUUAGUUGCUCUGUAAGUAGAUUCUUGUGGGAAUGCUGCUCUGGUUUGCUUUCCAAGCAAGCAUGAACCACAAAUUUCUUUUUCAAGAACAAACGUUGAAGCUCCUUGAACCAAUUCCUUGUCUAUCAUGGCUUUUAUGGUCUCUAGACUUACAUGUCCCAUUCUUGCAUGCCAUAGGCUUGAUUCACUCACAGUUGUCAGAUAUAAGCAAGUGUUGUCCUUUAAACCCAUUUUAACCUUGUAUAAACGAUUCUUGGACCUCUCUGCUUUUACAAGUAACUUUCCAUCACGAUCAUGCAUUGUCAAGUAGCCAUCUUUCAGUCUUAUGUCACAUCCUGAUUCUGUAGCCUGUCCUAGACUUAUUAUAUUGCUCUUCAGAUCAGGUAUGAAGUAAACAUCGGUCAUUACUCUUGAUCUUCCGUUUAGGUCUAUGAAUGCAAUCGUCCCCUUUCCUUUAAUAUCAAUGCGUGAGUCGUCUCCAAAUCUUACCUUCCUAGUAACAGAGUAAUCAAGCUUAUCAAAGUAUCUUCUAUCACCUGUCAUCUGGUUGCUAGCUCCAUUAUCAAGGUACCACACGUUUUCUCCAUCAAUGUUUGUCUCAAACUUGCUAGGAACGCAACUUUUCUCAUUUAAGUAAACAAUUUCAUGCAUCAUAAGUUCAUCUGCGACUUGAGUAUCCUUUUGUUCAUUCUCUUGUGCUUGCAAUUUUAGUAAGCGGUCAGGACAGUUUGAGGCAUAGUGACCGAUCUUAUCACAUCUAUAACAUGUUAUUUGUGAUGAAUCUCGACCACCAUAACGUCCUCGUCCUCUUCCUCUGUAAAAGUUUCUGCCUCCACGUCCUCUGCCCCUGUAUUCAUUGUUGUAAUCUCGGUUUGAGUAGCUGUUUUGAGAAUCCAUAUUGGUGUACAACAGCUUGCUUUGAUCCUCAUGUGAAUCUUCUUCUUCGAUGACACGUUCUUCAUAGACCUUAAGACGUCCAACUAUAUCGUCUAAAGUUGUAGUAUUAAGAUCUAAUACUUGUUCUAAAGCAGCCACAAUAUGGAUAUAUUUUUUCCGAGGAAUACUUUUCAAAAAUUUCUUAACCAAUCUUGAUUCUUCAAUGUUUACACCUAGGGCAGAUGAUUUUGAUGAUAUCUCAGAUAACUUUCCUGCAAAGUCAUCAAUCUUCUCAGUAUCCUUCAUCUUGAGGCGGUCAAAUUCAACCAUAAGAGUUUGUAACCUAGCAUCCUUGACCCUGUCUGCUCCCACAUGCCUUGCUUUAAUCGAAUCCCAUACCUUCUUAGUUGUGUUAAGUUCUCCUAUUUGUAGUACUAGGGCUUCAGGAAUCGACUGGAAAAGCAAAGCAGUGGCUACAUCGUUCUUCUCCACAUCAAUCGGGUUUGAUGGUGUUUCUAUAACCUCCCAAGCUUUAUGAACUUUGAGUGCUGACCUCAUUCUUAUGGCCCAUACCGUAUAAUUUGUUGCGUUUAGCAUAGGACAUUUAAUUGAGGAAGAUCCUCCUCCUUCUUUGCCUUUUUUGGUCACGGGAAUAAUAUCCCCCAUAGCUUCUUCUCGAUCUCAAAAAAAAACUCUCACAAAGCUCUGAUACCAAAUCUAGUUUGUAGAAGUAAUCAAGAACACAAAACAAAAGAAUAACUCUCUUUUAUUACUUAGGAAACUCUCUCAAAACCUAAGCCUCUCUCAAUCACUUCUCAAACUCUCUAAAACCGCACAAGUCAUAUCACAACUCGAUAUGUCCUUAUAUAACAAACCCUAUGACCUAAUCAUAUCUCAAUUAGGAAAAUACAAAGAUCCUUCUAGAUAACUCCUAGAGGAUUUACAUUUAUCUUCUCAUAAAACCAAAGACUUGCGGUUUAAGUAAUCCUCCGGUUAAGCUUCUCUCAAGCUUAAACCAACAGUAGGCAGUUGCGAGAGCAAAUGUAAAUAUCUGAGGUUACAUUUAUCUUCAAGCUGAUAGGGUACAUGCAACGCGACUCACAC
rnacentral:lncRNA from 1 species